rnacentral:tRNA from 2 species
GGCCCCUUAGCUCAGUGGUUAGAGCAGGCGACUCAUAAUCGCUUGGUCGUUGGUUCAAACCCAACAGGGGUCACCA